rnacentral:rRNA from 1 species
AACGAACGCUGGCGGCAUGCCUAACACAUGCAAGUCGAACGUGAUCCGGGACUUCGGUUUCGGUGAAAGUGGCGGACGGGUGAGUAACGCGUGGGAACCUGCCCAGUGGUAGGGGAUAACCGCGGGAAACUGCGGCUAAUACCCUAUGUGCCCUGCGGGGCGAAAGAUUCAUCGCCAUUGGAGGGGCCCGCGUCGGAUUAGGUAGUUGGUGGGGUAACGGCCUACCAAGCCUUCGAUCCGUAGCUGGUCUGAGAGGAUGAUCAGCCACACUGGGACUGAGACACGGCCC